UUUUUUUCCCUCGAACAUUAUCAACCGGUCGAGAAUGAUCCAACUCGUUAAACCCAUUUUGUCGUUCGUGCACGAAAGGAGAUUCACUCGACAAGAGUGAUCAGCCACCCGUUAAUUCGGCGGAACAUCGAGCGGGGCGUAUUAUCAAUCGGUCGGAGCAGUUUCGCCGGCAUUAACAGUCGAAGAAGAGAAACAGGAAUUUGUUAACAAUUUCUGUCGCCCCGGCGAAACUUCGACAAUAUAAUAUCCAACCCAAUGCACGAUGUGGGCUGUACCCGAAACUCAUGGAUUCCAGGAUACAAUAUCGCAGGAGAGACAAUCCCCAUGAAGAUGUCAUCUCAAUAUGGCUGCGUCCUGUAAUUUAAUUCUCUGACUGUUUCCUUCGUCGCCUUCUUAUGAUUUUCGAAGCGUCAUAUGCAACUUUCCAGCGUGAUAAGCAUGAUAACUUGGACUGCGCGAUGACAAUUUUAAUGAGCUUCAAUCUCAAUUCCUGGGACGUCGUCGUGCUCAGGCUACUGAUCAUACUGUUGGUAGCUAAAGUAUUAUCUUCAAUUUUCAACAACAGACGAAUCUUUUUCAUAUUAUUGUAACAACAAUCACCGUGACAUACUGCGAUAUCUGUAUAAAAAUCAAAUGUGUUUAUAUACGGGCACACGAAGAGCUCGUAGCGAGAUAACGAGAGAGAAAUAUAUAUAUUGGAAUAAAUGGAAAUUUUAAUAUUAUAGUUCAA